UACGAAGGGGGGCUAGCGUUGUUCGGAAUUACUGGGCGUAAAGCGCGUGUAGGCGGGUCUUUUAAGUCAGGGGUGAAAUGCCAAGGCUCAACCUUGGAACUGCCUUUGAUACUGGCGGUCUCGAGUCCGGGAGAGGUGAGUGGAACUGCGAGUGUAGAGGUGAAAUUCGUAGAUAUUCGCAAGAACACCAGUGGCGAAGGCGGCUCACUGGCCCGGUACUGACGCUGAGGUGCGAAAGCGUGGGGAGCAAACAGG
rnacentral:rRNA from 1 species